AUUGAACGCUGGCGGCAGGCCUAACACAUGCAAGUCGAGCGGCAGCGGGUAGAAAGCUUGCUUUCUAUGCCGGCGAGCGGCGGACGGGUGAGGAAUACCUAGGAAUCUGUCCAUUAGUGGGGAAUAACCAGCCGAAAGGUUGGCUAAUACCGCAUACGCCCUACGGGGGAAAGGGGGGGAUCUUCGGACCUCUCGCUAAUAGGUGAGCCUAGGUCGGAUUAGCUAGUUGGUGGGGUAAAGGCCUACCAAGGCGACGAUCCGUAGUUGGUCUGAGAGGAUGACCAGCCACACUGGGACUGAGACACGGCCCAGACUCCUACGGGAGGCAGCAGUGGGGAAUAUUGCACAAUGGGCGAAAGCCUGAUGCAGCCAUGCCGCGUGUGUGAAGAAGGCCUUCGGGUUGUAAAGCACUUUAGGCGGGGAGGAAAGGUUAAUGAUUAAUACUCGUUAGCUGUGACGUUACCCGCAGAAUAAGCACCGGCUAACUCCGUGCCAGCAGCCGCCGUAA
rnacentral:rRNA from 1 species